rnacentral:misc_RNA from 1 species
AUAAUCAAAAUUCCCUCUCAAGUAUAAAAGAUCUUAAAUCACAAAUUGCUCAAAUCAAGUUAAAUUCCAUUGGCACUAAUGUCUCUAUGGUGAGGCAGUUAAAACCUAAUUUAGCUAGAGAAAUCCAACGUGGCUUGAAUUAGGUGACAAAAACACAUCCUUUUUCCAUGCUCAAGUUAUUCAAAGGAGAAGGAGAAUUUUAUUAAUGCUAUUUAAGACACUAACAGAGAUUGGAUUUAUGG